rnacentral:sRNA from 1 species
UAAAUAGAUCUGCCACAGUGGCGCUAGU